UUCUUCAUCCUCAUUCUCCAGGUGGACGCCUUAUUUCUUCUUUAUCUCUUCAUCCUCAUUCUCCAGGUGGACGCCUGAUUUCUUCUUUAUCUCUUCAUCCUUAUUCUCCAGGUGGACGCCUGAUUUCUUCUUUAAUUCUUCAUCCUCAUUCUCCAUGUGGACGCCUGAUUUCUUCUUUAUCUCUUCAUCCUCAUUCUCUAGGUGGACGCCUGAUUUCUUCUUUAUUUCUUCAUCCUCAUUCUCCAGGUGGACGCCUGAUUUCUUCUUUAAUUCUUCAUCCUCAUUCUCCAGGUGGACGCCUGAUUUCUUCUUUAAUUCUUCAUCCUCAUUCUCCAGGUG
rnacentral:lncRNA from 1 species